AAGAAUGAGCCAAGAACCAUGAUGUCUAUUAAGCCCAGUUCCUUCAAGGUGUAUCAGCAGAACAAGACAAGGCUCUAAGUGCUCCCAGGGAGAUCGGAAGAUAUCCAGCACAAGCCACUCUGAGCUGGGCACCAAGGGCUACAGGCUCUAACUGUAAAAUAGAUGAAAGUGAAGAGAAGCCCACUGAAGGAGAAUCAGAGGCCUACUUCAUUCCCUCCUCCCCAGUGGUCCUAAGAACCUGUUCAAGGUUUUCCAAAGUGUGGGUUUCCAUGAAUCACCUGAGGGAACUUCAGAGGGCCAGGAGAAGUCACAGUUCUCAAAGAGACUUGCUGCGGGCACUUUAUCUGAACCCCCGAUUUCAG